AAUCUUUUAGCUGCUCUUCUGCCGCCUUCCUUGUCAUCUCUUCAGGCGCUGGUUCGAGCUGCUUGAAACCCACGGCACCUUCGCCAUCUUCCCUAGUUCCUCGCCGAUGGCGGCUUCGUUGACCUCCAUCGCGGGCGUACGCCCAAAAGUUGCUGGUGUUCAAUGCAUCUCUUCCCGGCAUCCACUUCUGAGUCCUUCCAACGUCUUCGUGGGCCUGAAAUCCUGUCCGAGACCGGAAUUUUCGUCUUCCUUCGGUCUCCGAUCAGCGCCCGGUUUCCCAUGAAAAGCCCGCUGCACGAUUUCGCCUCGCGCGGAGCUGAGGGUUUGACGAUUUCGAUGGAUAAAGAGAUUUCCCUGCUCUGGUUCUUAACAUUUUGAAUUUUUGAAGCCAAACUUUCGUGCUCUUUGCACAGGUGAGAAGGGCUUCGGGUACAAGGGAUCUUCGUUUCAUCACGUGAUCAAGGGUUUCAUGAUUCAAGGAGGAGACUUCGACGAAGGAAAUGUAGGUGCUGCUGCUGCUGAUUUGAGAGUGGAUGUGUAAAUAGUGAAAGUAGUCUCAUGAGUUUAAUACUUUAAGGUCGGUUAUAAAGAAAGAAUAUAUCACACAAACGGAUUGAAAAUUUGAAAUGGAAAACUUUCUUGACCAAAAAACGGUGCAGCAGUAUUAAAUAAUAUUUGUUCAUAUCAUAUUAUUGAAAGAACUUCAACAAGUCAUACCGAGCAUACAAAGCUUAUGUAAGGAUAUAUAAUAAAUAUCCAGGAACUUGUAAGAACAAUCUCAAGGAUAAAUAAUAAUAUGUUUGCCAGUCUUGUACAAGUUACAUGAUCCGACAUGUUUACAUAAGUGAACUUAGAUUAAGUCAUUGAUAGUAGAUGGUAUAACUACAGUAAUAUAUGAUGUCUUUUUUAUAACGUCUCUCUUGAGAAACUCAUAGGGAUGUUAAAUACUACAUUAACUGAAGUUAGUGAAUAAAUUGGUUCAAUGAAUUUAUACAGCAGAAAAGUCAUCAUGUAUACCUCCUGGCUCAUGUAUCAUCCUGUUCAACUGUGGUGUUAAUGCUCAGUAGCACAUAAUCUUGGAGUCUUCUUAUAUACUUAAAUGAUAGCACUUUGGUAUAUGAUUUACUUAGGAAGUACCUAACAAGUUCCUCAAUAAUGAAGCUAGUAUUUUCUAUUUAGUUGGUUAUCGAUGUCUUUAUUGUUAAAUACUGUGUGGGCAUUUUUAAGUUUGCAGAGCAAUAUCAAUUCCGAUGAAAGAAAGAUCAAUUUUACAUGGAAAUCAUUUAGCAGACUGAACCAUUUCUUUAUCACAACUUUCUGAUAGAGAUCUAUUACAAGUCUUCUUGAAAAAAAUGGGUUAGCCGUAAAGAGUCACUUUUGCAUGUUAAUUUUUAUGUCGAUGUACACAAGGUAAAUUGUUUAUUAGAAAAUUUUAUUGUUGAAUUUCAGGGGACUGGUGGUAAAAGUAUUUAUGGCCGCACAUUUAAAGAUGAAAACGUCAAAGUUGGUUCAUGUGUGACCAGGAGUGGUUAGUAUGGCAAAUGCAGAACCUAACACUAACGGAAGUCAGUUCUUCAUUUGCACUGUGAAGUUUUUAAAUGUGAUUACUCUAGAAGACUUAAUGCACCACUGAGCUAAGUAUUUGAACGUUCAACAUCAUUGCUAUUCUGGGGAAAAGAAAACAAACUUCGACAGACCGUGGUGAAGUUCUUGAUGGUAUGGACAUGGUGAAGUUGAUUGAGUCUCAAGAGACGACUGUGGAGAUCGGCCAAAGAAGAGGGUUGCCAUCAGUGACAGUGGUUUUAGUUUGCAGAAAUAAGAAGAGAAACAUUUCCAUUAAACUGGCAUUCCGGGCCAAAUAGGUAAUCUAAGAUUUUAUUGGCACAUCUGCCCAACGAGUUGAGAGGGCGAAGACACCAAAUCUUUCACCACUACAUGUCUUUUUCGCUUCUGUAGAUAUUAUUGCUAAGGUGAAGCCUAGCUUUCGCGGGACCAAGCGAGGGGCUUCUCCAUGUGUUCCACUAAGAGAGUGAAAGGAAGCUUCAUGUAAGGAGACAACUCAUCAUGGGGGAUGUAAUUUUAAAUCAAAGCUAAUGAUCCUGCUAAGUUUAGUGAUUUUCCGGGCACUUGCCGAGUUCAAAGAUUUCUUAUUCAAUCUUUAAUUUGAUUUGUUCUCGAGUGGGUGCUCCACAUUACAUUCAAUUAUAAGAAACGCUAUGCAGGUACCCAAUUGGAUUUGAGCUUUAAGAAUGCGUGUCCUCACUUUUCUAAGGAUGAUAAUGGUACGUUGAGCACUGUCUCAAUAAAGCUCAUUCAUCCUUCCAGUGAUAAUUAGUGAACAAUUCUUUAUUGAUUCUUGACUGCUAGAUUUGAUGGUUGUUGGAGCAUUUCACCUUUGUUUAACUGGUUGCAACCUUUAAGGGGUGUGGAUGAUUGGGUAGAAAGCAGAUAGAUUAUAUAAAUGGUGAAUUUUCAAGCACCAAUUCUCAUCCAAAGUUUGCGUCUAAGAAUUUGUGUAACUUGGACUAUAAGUGGGUAUUGAGUCAGCUAAAUCGAGGAGGCAAAUUGAUUGAAUUAUAGCUUCUGAGCCAACUCAACUCAUUCUCAUUACAAUGUAUUUAGUACAAUUAACAAACCUGGGAAAAAGGAAAAAAAGGAUGAUCAUGUGUCACCUCACUAAAUUGCGUAACGUAUUAAUCAAACUCAACGCCAACAUUUAGCAUGCUUUUCUUGGUCAAAAAGAAUUGCAGCCAUUAACAUUUUAAAGUCCUCUGAACAUGACACGAAGUGAGUGGUAAUAUGUUCUAAGCUGUUCGACCACAGUAUAAAUUGUUUACACCAGGACUAAUUGCUUGUUCUGACAUCUACAGACUGAGAACAGCAAUGAUCAAUAAUUAGACGAAAACUAAACCAAGUGACAGGCAAAGUGCCACCAAACCUAAUUAAUUAGAAGAAGCAACAGAGCUUCACAAACUAGAAUAGUGGUCUGUACCUAAUUAAAGUAGAUGACGAACAAUGUAGCUAAGUUUAAAUAAGCUAAACAAACACAUGACUUGCUAAUUUUUAUUUUUUAUAUUUCUCGGAAGCACUCAUGUGUCGAUUAUGCUAUCAUUUCCUCCCACAUCAAGAGCCUACAAAAAGCUCAGAGACUCACCCACUCCAGAGCAUCGGAAACUUGAGAAAUGGCGAAGAGUCUACUACUUUGCACCGUAGCAGUUAUUCUGGCCGUCUCUGCAGGCAAUGGAAUGGGAAUCAGAGUUGAGAAGGGCAGCCAAACAAGCACUGCACUGAAGAGUGCCUAUAAGCGUGUGCAGAUUGCUUCUGCUACUCUAGUUGCACAGCAGCAUGGUGACAACCAGUAUGUGAUUCCAAUGGAGAGGUCUGUUCCUUCAGGGCCAAACCAAAUGGAGCCUGUCCAUGGAGUUGCACAGGUUCAGCCUCUUGGUGAUACUGCAGCAGAGAAACUGCAUGAGCCGCCAUCAGGCGCAAGGCGAUGAAGUCAGCAAGAAAAGCAUCAGUGAUGAUGUUAGUAGUUAUUUCAGCUUUGUUUGCAGCAGCAGAGUGCUAGAAGCUAGCUUUGUGUGGAAGAUGCAGUUUCACUAGUAUAUGCUUAAGAUGUUGGAUGGUAUUAAUAUGCUUUCUACUCCAUGCUUUUGAGAGUGUAGCUACUACUUUUAGCUUGAAAAGAUGCAAGUGUGGCAAGUUAUUAUGGUGCCAAUGUAUAUCAUUAAUAAAUUAGGAAGUGUGUAAUUUCUGCACUAUGUCUAUGGAUAGUACAGCAAUCUUUCAUGAACUAAGAGUAGAUUAUUGAUCUUGAAAGAGUGCAGAGACUAGUAGCCUAAGUGCUGAAGAUAUGACUGCUAUUCGAACAUAGUAAUACACAGUGAAAAAGAAUACUUUUCUGAGAACAAUGCCCACUUACUUUCUUAACUAGGAAAUCAGAACAAUGGCCAUCUAUAACAAAACAAAAGAAAUACAAACUAUUGUUCUAAUAGCUAUGAGAUUAAAGGAGGUCAUUGCACCUUGAGGAAGGACACCUUCUAUUUGAAAAUAAAACAGAUCACAUGGAAAUGGCAGGAUGAUCCAAGUCUAACUUUUCAUAGUGGAUCAUUACAAGGUGAAGUAUAUUCGUUGUCAAUCAUUGAGAAAAAUUAGUACAACCAACUAUGAUUGGGCAUUAAGAAAAAACAAAGAAUUUGCACUUGGAUUACUUUAAGAAUGCUUUCCACAUGCAUCAACCAUGAACUGUUUUUAGAUGUUAUGUUGAAUUCGGAUUUGUUUAUGUGCAGAUGUUACUGAAAGAAAAAAAAAAAUACAGCUCAGUGUUUCAUCCUUCACAA